rnacentral:rRNA from 1 species
CAUGCAAGUCGAACGGUAACGACCUUAUCACUUUCGGGUGAUGAGGGGCGACGAGUGGCGGACGGGUAAGUAACGCAUAGGAAUCUGCCCAAUAGUGGGGGACAACCUGGGGAAACCCAGGCUAAUACCGCAUACGCCCUACGGGGGAAAGCGGGGGAUCUUCGGACCUCGCGCUAUUGGAUGAGCCUAUGUCUGAUUAGCUUGUUGGUAGAGUAACGGCCUACCAAGGCGACGAUCAGUAGCUGGUCUGAGAGGAUGAUCAGCCACACUGCGACUGAGACACGGCGCAGACUCCUACGGGAGGCAGCAGUGGGGAAUAUUGCACAAUGGGCGCAAGCCUGAUGCAGCAAUGCCGCGUGUGUGAAGAAGGCCUGCGGGUUGUAAAGCACUUUCAGUAGCGAAGAAAAGCCUGAGGUUAACACCCUCUGGUCUUGACGUUAGCUACACAAGAAGCACCGGCUAACUCCGUGCCAGCAGCCGCGGUAAUACGGAGGGUGCGAGCGUUAAUCGGAAUUACUGGGCGUAAAGCGCGCGUAGGCGGUUUGGUAAGUCGGAUGUGAAAUCCCCGAGCUUAACUUGGGAAUUGCAUUCGAUACUGCCUGACUAGAAUGUGAUAGAGGUAAGUGGAAUUCCCGGUGUAGCGGUGAAAUGCGUAGAUAUCGGGAGGAACAUCAGUGGCGAAGGCGGCUUACUGGAUCAACAUUGACG